rnacentral:rRNA from 1 species
UACGAAGGGGGCUAGCGUUGCUCGGAAUCACUGGGCGUAAAGCGCACGUAGGCGGAUUCUUAAGUCAGGGGUGAAAUCCUGGAGCUCAACUCCAGAACUGCCUUUGAUACUGGGAAUCUUCGAGUCCGGGAGAGGUGAGUGGAACUGCGAGUGUAGAGGUGAAAUUCGUAGAUAUUCGCAAGAACACCAGUGGCGAAGGCGGCUCACUGGCCCGGUACUGACGCUGAGGUGCGAAAGCGUGGGGAGCAAACAGG